CGGAAGUAAGCGGUGUUGUGGGCUGGACGGUUUUGAUAGAAAAUUGUGGGAGGGGUGUCCCAGAAGUUUGAGAAGGAGUAAAAAAAGAAUGUUUUGUCCUUUCUGUGGAGUCAGCCUGCCUUUUCUAACUCCAUUUUGCAGCUCGUGUGGCAAGGACAUCAAAUUCUUGAGCCAUAAUGAUAACACAGCAAACACAACUAAAGGGAGCAGAAAAACAAGUGCAAAGGAGUCAUUCUACAAGUUGAGGACUUUAAAAGAGAAGGCGAGACAGUCCCACUCAAAAAUGAAAACACUACAGAAAGAUAGCAACGUGACGAUUUCUGUAGCCCUUAUGGAACUGAAUGGUGGAGCAUUAAAACCUGUAAGAGGAACAGCCGUCCCCCUUGUACUGAAUCCAGACUCAGAUGCUGAGCACUUGCGCAAAGCUGCUAUUCAAAAAUUGAAAGACUUCAAUUACGAUUUGCAAGGUUGCCCUUCCUUUUUGCUGUACCCUGAUGGUACAAGAAUAAUUAACAUACCAGGAACAGAAACACGUUCACCCUGAAGCGUUACAGGUACGCAUUGGGAAAGACGUACCAACGCAUCACGCUGUACAUUUGUGCAGCUACAGAUUUCUUUAAAUAUUCUCAACCCUCUGAUUCUGAUUCAGCAGUGAUCAUUGCAAACAGAAGCAAUACAGAAAUCAAUUCAGCCAAUACAGUGUAUGUACUUCCGGACUCAGAAAGGGGCCCGGGAACAUCAAAGUGUGUAUUGGAAGCUGUGUGCUCGAGAAAAUACUUACAACUUUUUGCACCGGCUGUAGUAGCGGAUCACACAGACUCUGGUACUGAUGUGGACAGCAGCGACACGCAAAAGGAAUCAGAGUUAGUGGUGCCAGUUGCUCUCUUCAGAAGCAUAAGGGAGAAAAUGUAAGGAGAUGAUCCCCUGCACUAUCUCCCGCACCAUUCGUAUCUCAGUGGCUCUGGUAUUCUUUGCUUCUUUUCAAGAAGAGAGAACCAUAUCCGUGGGGCUAUUAAGUACUUUCAGAUGAUAAUGUAUAGGAUGCAGGGUUUCUUCACAGAUAAGUUUCCUCUGUUAUUCCAUUCAGACACCCAAGGAGAAUUUUAAUAAGAGGAAAAAUAACUGUGCUUGGUUAUAAUGUCAGUGGUUCUUUGUGGGAGAUAGAGAUUACAACCACAUAAGGGAAGAAAAAACAGUAAGAAGACUAAACAUGCAACACACAAUUAUCUUUGCAGAGCGAGCGUGAUGAGCCUGUGGUUCAUUUGUUCUUAGAGUAGCAUGUUAUCAGCUGAACGAAAAAGCCUCACAAAUUCUUGCAGUCCAGUCUUCUCCUCCAUGACUUAUAGACAUGAUAAAACAUUGCACACUCCCUUGUUCAGAGGCUAGUUUUGCACCAGAUUUGGGAGGAAAGUGUUACUAUUUUUUCAAAUGAUUUGAUUUGCUAUUCUUGCAUUUUUAAUUCAUUCAUUUCUUGGUCAAGUAAGCAGUCUAUUGUUGGAUAACUAUUCAGGCUGUUUUGUUGCUACAAAAGAAAAGAAAAUAAAGUAGGAAAGAGAGAGAAAAAAGAAAAUCCCUUAAACAUUCUGUUUUUUCUGCUCAUCAGGCAUUCCUACACACAUUGGUGGCCUUUUGCAGCUCAUUCAGCUAGCAGGACUGUUGAGAGGCAGCGUUUACAACAUGGAAUUUCUUUAGUGUUAUUGAGUAUGUGGGUAUGAAGGAUUAGAGCAGUUAUGGUGAAAGGCAGAUUCUGCCUAUGUGAUGAUAAAUGUCUGUAAGCCAAACCCGUGGCUAGUUUUCCACUUGGACAAAGCUGCUUCUUUGAGGGAAAUUAAUAAACAUGCUUCUGGUAAUGUGGUGAAAGAGAUACUUUCAACAACUGCACAGCUGCCAUCUCUCCAUAAGAUUGUUCAUUAAUUCCUUAAACUUUCUUAAAAUGAACUUAGCUUGAUAUUUCCACCCAUUUAAUUCUUAAUCGUGGGUACCUCUAGAUUGGCUUUGCACACAUUAAAACUCCAAAUAUGUUGUUAUUCUUUCAAAAUAAGGGAGCUUUCUCCUGGUGGCAGCAUAUAGUUUAUGAUGCCUUUCUGUUUUCCUUACUGAAUGUAUAUUUUCCUGGAUACCCCAACAUUGAAGCCAUAAACAUCUGGGACUGGGAACAUCAUAUCCUGACAUUAUACAUCAUGAAAAAGUCCAUGUAAUUAUGUGUAUUGUCUGACUUUAUAGCUAAAAUGCACAAGGAAUUAAAAAGGGGUGUUUAUAUUUGAAAAUGCAACAGUACUUUGAUUUCUCACAAACAUUACUAAUUACUUUUUAAUACUAAUAAUCUUGUAAUUAGUUAAAUUAAAAAGUAAUGUUACUGAACAACAGCUAAGUUUACAUGGACAAAUAUGUCUUUUAUCUGACUGAAAUUAAUCUGAUCAUAUUCCCGCUAACAUGUUUAUAUGAACUGUAGAUAAAGUGAUCUGAGCCGCUGUGUGUUUGCAUGAUGGAAAGAUUUAAUACAAUCAUAAUGCAAUGUGUACUAAGUCGUAAGAAAAAGAAUAUGAAGAAGAGGAUUUUAUCAAAUUUUAACAAAUACAUUCAACUUGUUUCAAGCCGUUCGAUUGUCUAGAUCAGGGAUCCUCAAUCCUGGUCCUCGAUGGUCGGUGUCCUGCAGGUUUUAGAAGUUUCCCUGCUGCACCACACCUGAUUCAUAGUGAUAACAUAUGAUCACUUUAAUCCAGUCAAAUGGAAACUUAGGCUGUUCGGUAUUGGUGAAAGUUGACAAUUGAUUUUAUGUUAAUUGCAGAGAUCAGUGUGUGAGUUAAUUCUGCCAAUGUGGUGUGUUUUGGCUGGUGUUAACAGGUGUCUGUAAUGCUCACCAGUCAACUCUGAAUGCAGUUAUCAUGUUCCCAUCUGUGUUUUAGCAAAGCUCAAUACUACAUGUGAAAUUGCAGCAUUUUACAAAGGCUCUUAUUUGUUCUAUCCUCCCUGAGAUUACCUUAAAAAUUAAGUGUUACCAUGGUAAUACAGGCAGUGUUUGUUUGUCUUCUGCUUGCUUUUCAAAUGAAGUUCUCAGACUUUUUUCCCUUCAGACGUGUUUUUGUUUCUUUCAAGCCAAUAAGAAAGGGAAGACAUCUGAAGUAAUUCCCACAGUAGACAGCGACUGACUCUUGAGACCAUAUCACUCCCAAAGUAACGUAAAAUGCAUUGUUUACUCACUAGCACCAUGAUUAAAAAUACAUACAUACAUAAAUAAAAUGACAUUUAAGGUAUUCAAAGAGAAAAGGAAGAGCAGUGUUGUUUAUUCCACUUUCAAGCUUCACAGAAUAUAAAGUUUUGCAUUCUCUUGAAUUUUCUGGAUUUCCUGUAACUGAUCAGAUGUUGUCUAAGCAAAUGUCGUAUUCUUUUGUCAUUUCUAAACUAUGUGACACUGAAGAUGUUCUCUAUACUUUUGGUCACCGGAGGAAAAUCGAAAAAAAAGAAAGAAAAUCACCAUUUAAUUUCAUUCUGUUUUUUCUCAGGUCAUCAUCCAGUGUUUCUCUCUGAUUUCUCACCCACUAAUUGUGGAAACCAAAGCACUGGAACCAUUACUUGCAUAAUCAGAAUUAAUUAAAUUUUCUGUUGUCAUGGAAAUCUCUGUUACUUUGCUGCACAAACAAUAAUAAUAAAAUAUAACACCUAUUUUUUAACCAA